rnacentral:pre_miRNA from 1 species
UUCGGGUGCAUUGUAGUUGCAUUGCACUUACCGUGUUGGUUAGAGGUGCAGUACUGCUUCAAUGCAACCCUAA